UGAGUCAGCCGGGCAAUUGCUGCUUUUAGCUCUUCGUUUACCGCUUAUUGGUAGUUGAGGAAAUUAGCAGAGGAAAGUCCGGGCUCCAUAGAGCAGGGUGCCAGGUAACGCCUGGGAGGCGCAAGCCUACGGCUAGUGCAGCAGAAAUUAUACCGCCGGGCUACUCAAUUUCUUGAAGUUGAAUGGUCAGGUAAGGGUGAAAUGGUGCGGUAAGAGCGCACCGCGCGACUGGUAACAGUUCGUGGCAAGGUAAACCCCACCCGGAGCAAGGCCAAAUAGGAAUCCUUUUAAUGCUGCUCGCAUUGGAUUCGGGUAGGCCGCUAAAGACCUGUGGCGACACAGGUUGUAGAUGAAUAAUUGUCCUCGACAGAACCCGGCUUAUAGGCUGGCUCACUUU
rnacentral:RNase_P_RNA from 1 species